CAAUAGCGUAUAUUAAAGUUGUUGCAGUUAAAAAGCUCGUAGUUGGAUUUGUGGUGUACUUUGGCGGCCCGUCACUAUGUGAUGGAGCUUGCUGAAGUCGUCAUCCUUGGGUGGAUCCUGUGUGGCAUUAAGUUGUCGUGCAGGGGAUGCCCAUCGUUUACUGUGAAAAAAUUAGAGUGUUCAAAGCAGGCUUAUGCCGUUGAAUAUAUUAGCAUGGAAUAAUAAGAUAGGACCUUGGUACUAUUUUGUUGGUUUGCGCACCAAGGUAAUGAUUAAUAGGGACAGUUGGGGGUAUUCGUAUUUCAUUGUCAGAGGUGAAAUUCUUGGAUUUUUGAAAGACGAACUACUGCGAAAGCAUUUACCAAGGAUGUUUNCAUUAA
rnacentral:rRNA from 1 species